UCCCUGUUGUAUUUCCUAGAAUUUCAGCUCAUUUUGUUUUCUACUUAGCAUAGUGGGUUAAAUAGGCUUUUGUGGGCUAGUCUGGGAACAUUGUUUCCAGUGAAAAAUGCAUUCUGUGUUGGAAACAAACAACAUACACAAAGAAACUUUCUGAACACAACCUCUUUGUAGAGUGGGGCCUGCCUGUCCUGCCUCCUGUCUCAGAAUUCAAGCCUGCAAAAGUUCUCUUUUCAAAUCUGGGCAGCCUUAAAAACAACAAAUGCAAUCUGGGAUGGAAAGUCUACCCUCUGAAGAGUCUUGCUGCUCUGCAUGAAGUGUGAGGUAUGGCCGAAGACCCAGUGGGCCUUGAUUUGAGCCUCAUUUGGCCAUGUGGGAUCCUGGGUGAGUCCUUAAAUGUCUCUGGUCUUGG
rnacentral:lncRNA from 1 species